rnacentral:rRNA from 2 species
UACGAAGGUCCCGAGCGUUGUUCGGAAUCACUGGGCGUAAAGGGAGCGUAGGCGGCGCGGUAAGUCGGAUGUGAAAUCCCGGGGCUCAACCCCGGAACUGCAUCUGAUACUGCCGUGCUAGAGUAAUGGAGGGGUAGCUGGAAUUAUCGGUGUAGCAGUGAAAUGCGUAGAUAUCGAUAGGAACACUCGUGGCGAAAGCGAGCUACUGGACAUUUACUGACGCUGAGGCUCGAAGGCUAGGGGAGCGAAAGGG